AUUGAACGCUGGCGGCAUGCCUUACACAUGCAAGUCUAACGGCAGCACGGGGCAACCUGGUGGCGAGUGGCGAACGGGUGAGUAAUGCAUCGGAACGUGCCAUUGAGUGGGGGAUAACGUAGCGAAAGUUGCGCUAAUACCGCAUAUUCUGUGAGCAGGAAAGCAGGGGACCGCAAGGCCUUGCGCUCUUUGAGCGGCCGAUGUCAGAUUAGCUAGUUGGUGAGGUAACGGCUUACCAAGGCGACGAUCUGUAGCGGGUCUGAGAGGAUGAUCCGCCACACUGGAACUGAGACACGGUCCAGACUCCUACGGGAGGCAGCAGUGGGGAAUUUUGGACAAUGGGCGCAAGCCUGAUCCAGCCAUGCCGCGUGAGUGAAGAAGGCCUCGG
rnacentral:rRNA from 1 species